CUGUAAAAUGGGGGUUGUUUUCCUUGGUUCAUGGAGUAGCCCUGGGGAGACGCUGAAAUCCACGCAAAGUUGUGGUUGUGGCAUUUUCCCCGGGGAGUAUUUGUGGCUUUCAAGGGGGUCAAGUA
ensembl:miRNA